rnacentral:rRNA from 1 species
UGGGGAAUAUUGCACAAUGGGCGCAAGCCUGAUGCAGCAACGCCGCGUGAGGGACGACGGCCUUCGGGUUGUAAACCUCUUUUAGUAGGGAAGAAGCGAAAGUGACGGUACCUGCAGAAAAAGCACCGGCUAACUACGUGCCAGCAGCCGCGGUAAUACGUAGGGGGCAAGCGUUGUCAGGCAUUAUUGGGCGUAAAGAGCUCGUAGGCGGUUUGUCGCGUCUGCUGUGAAAACCCGAGGCUCCACCUC